GAAAUGCGAUAAGUAAUGUGAAUUGCAGAAUUCAGUGAAUCAUCGAAUCUUUGAACGCACCUUGCGCUCCUUGGUAUUCCUUGGAGCAUGCCUGUUUGAGUAUCAUGAAAUCUUCAAAGUAAAUCUUUUGUUAACUCAAUUGGUUUCUACUUUGGUAUUGGAGGUCUUUGCAGCUUCACACCUGCUCCUCUUUGUUCAUUAGCUGGAUCUCAGUGUUAUGCUUGGUUCCAUUCGGCGUGAUAAGUUAUCUAUCGCUGAGGACACUGUAAAAGGUGGCCAAGGUAAAUGCAGAUGAACCGCUUGUAAUAGUCCAUUGACUUGGACAAUACUUUUAUGAUCUGAUCUCAAAUCAGGUAGGACUACCCGCUGAACUUAAGC
rnacentral:misc_RNA from 1 species